rnacentral:rRNA from 1 species
AACCGGGGCUAAUACCGGAUAACUCUUUCCCUCACAUGAGGAAAAGCUGAAAGAUGGUUUCGGCUAUCACUUACAGAUGGGCCCGCGGCGCAUUAGCUAGUUGGUGAGGUAACGGCUCACCAAGGCCACGAUGCGUAGCCGACCUGAGAGGGUGAUCGGCCACACUGGGACUGAGACACGGCCCAGACUCCUACGGGAGGCAGCAGUAGGGAAUCUUCCGCAAUGGACGAAAGUCUGACGGAGCAACGCCGCGUGAGUGAUGAAGGUUUUCGGAUCGUAAAACUCUGUUGUCAGGGAAGAACAAGUACCGGAGUAACUGCCGGUACCUUGACGGUACCUGACCAGAAAGCCACGGCUAACUACGUGCCAGCAGCCGCGGUAAUACGUAGGUGGCAAGCGUUGUCCGGAAUUAUUGGGCGUAAAGCGCGCGCAGGCGGUUCCUUAAGUCUGAUGUGAAAGCCCCCGGCUCAACCGGGGAGGGUCAUUGGAAACUGGGGAACUUGAGUGCAGAAGAGAAGAGUGGAAUUCCACGUGUAGCGGUGAAAUGCGUAGAGAUGUGGAGGAACACCAGUGGCGAAGGCGACUCUUUGGUCUGUAACUGACGCUGAGGCGCGAAAGCGUGCGG